CCUACGGGAGGCAGCAGUAGGGAAUCUUCCACAAUGGGCGAAAGCCUGAUGGAGCAACGCCGCGUGGGUGAAGAAGGUCUUCUGAUCGUAAAACCCUGUUGUUAGAGAAGAAAGUUCGUGAGAGUAACUGUUCACGUUUCGACGGUAUCUAACCAGACAGCCACGGCUAACUACGUGCCAGCAGCCGCGGUAAUACGUAGGUGGCAAGCGUUAUCCGGAUUUAUUGGGCGUAAAGGGAACGCAGGCGGUCUUUUAAGUCUGAUGUGAAAGCCUUCGGCUUAACCGGAGUAGUGCAUUGGAAACUGGGAGACUUGAGUGCAGAAGAGGAGAGUGGAACUCCAGGUGUAGCGGUGAAAUGCGUAGAUAUAUGGAAGAACACCAGUGGCGAAAGCGGCUCUCUGGGCUGUAACUGACGCUGAGGUUCGAAAGCGUGGGUAGCAAACAGGAUUAGAUACCCGAGUAGUC
rnacentral:rRNA from 1 species